rnacentral:lncRNA from 1 species
GCUUUACUGAGAUAAGCAAGUACUUACUAUAUGCAAUAUUACAGACAUUUUUAGAUAGUAGUAUUGAUUUUGUUGCUUGCCUUUAUUUAUGACUUAACAUAAGUCUGAUACUACUACUACUACUACUAUCACUGAUACUAUUGAAGUGAGUUGAGCAUCUCAGGUGCUUUUGUUGAUGUUGCUAGUAAUCUAUGUGACUGAGUAAGUUUCUUCUGUGUUUCGUACCCAGAUAAUGACCUAGGUUAUCACCACUUCAAAGACAUAGUAGGACACAAGGUCUUCUUUAUCACUGAUAGAUCCUACUUUGUAGACUGGAAAACAUAAGGGUUUUUCUUCUUAUAGGAACUGAGGUAAGUGUCAUUUCCCUGUUUGCUUUGUAUGGAGGUGGUUCCAUCCUUUUCCCUAUUCUGCUUUCAGCUUUAGCUGCAAGUGGCUGUUAUUACAGAUCUGUUUUCCUCUGUGCUAACCUGAACGCCAGCUCUCUCCUGACACCUAUUUUUAAUUCUAAAAGUUCCCACAGGAAAAGAACAAAAGAGGAGGAAAGGCCAUGUCCAACCUGGGAGGUAGAAUGUGUUUCUCUCAAAGCAGUUGUGAAGGGGAGGGACAGCACUGUCCUGGUAGAAGACUGCCAGUGUUGCUUGGCUUGGAAGGAACCUCAGAAGCUCCCUAACCCAAUCUGUGGCUCCAAGUAUGCUCAACUGUUUAACUUCUCAGCUAUGCUGUUUGUGAAGUAAAGAUCUUGGUGCCUUUGGGUGAGAUGGUUAACUAAUGGAGCUGUGGGGAGCUGGUGUGGGUGAGAAUGUCUGGGGGUAUUCAUGGGGAGAUAAAGAAAACAUACAUGGUCUGAACUGCUGUGUCUGUAGGGUCUGAAGAACAGCAUUGAGCUCUGCAGGAAUUCCAGCUGAAGGUGCACCCAUGACUGUGGCCUGAACACUUGUCUCCUGCUGCUGGCCCUGUCACAGGUGAGCCCUGCAGAGGCCUUCCUGACAGGGAGAGCAGCUCCCUGGAGGCCAGCCCUUCCGUGUGACAGGAUUUCAGCUGAAAAUACACUCCGGGUAAUAAAAUGUCGCUUCUUUGCCUCA